rnacentral:pre_miRNA from 1 species
AGUGGGAUAUCUGGGUCAAAAGGUGGUUCCAUUCCAAGUUUUCUAAGGAAUAUCCAUACUGCUUUCCAGAUUGGCCGCACCAGUUUGCAUUCCCACCAGCAAU